UAAUCAUAUUCUUUAUUAUUCUUACUGUCCUUUCUGCUUGUCCAUUACUUUUUGGAUAAUUGGGUGAUGCUGUAUUUAUGGUAAAAUUCCAUUCUUCAGCAAAUUGUUUGUACCCCUGUGAGUCAAUGAGUAUAUUAUCCGCCACUACCACUUCAGGUGUUCCAUGUGUACUAAAUAUUUGUUUAAGUUCUCUCACACACUGUUGAAGUUUUGUUAUUUAAUAAAUUUAC